rnacentral:lncRNA from 1 species
GUCACUGUGCGGGGGGGUGUGUGUGUGCGCGCGCGUGUGUGUGUCGGUCUGCUGGAGCCGCGGAGCUUCGUACCGCUGAAAUCACAGCAGCCACAGGGCACGGUGCUGGAGCAGCUCGGGAGGAUGAAGUUUAACUCGACGGCGCUUGCUGCUCUCUCCAGAGGGCCCCCUGGAAGCUUUGACAUCGAGGGGAUACUCGCGAUCCGCCGAGAGCCCACUGGCACGUCGGCCAAACCACAAGCUAGUAAGGAGAGAUGGUGUCGGCUGAAAGGGAAUCUGCUGUUUCUGAUGAAGAAAUCCACUGAGUCCGAGCCCGAAGAGGUCGUGGUCCUGGAACGAUGUCACAUCACGGAGAGCGGAGAUAACAGGCAGUCCGCAUUGCGCAUCCGUAAGUACCACCAGAU